rnacentral:rRNA from 1 species
GAGUUUGAUCCUGGCUCAGAACGUACGCUGGCGGCACGCCUAACACAUGCAAGUCGAACGAAGUAGCAAUACUUAGUGGCAGACGGGUGAGUAACAUGUAGGUAUCUACCCUAUGGCCUGGAAUAACACGAGGAAACUUGUGCUAAUACCGGAUAAGUCUUUACGGAGAAAGCUUUAUGCACCAUUGGAUGAGCCUGCACUUGAUUAGUUUGUUGGUGGGGUAAUGGCCUACCAAGACUGUGAUCAAUAGCUGAUUUGAGAGGAUGAUCAGCCACAUUGGGACUGAGACACGGCCCAAACUCCUACGGGAGGCAGCAGUGGGGAAUCUUGCACAAUGGAGGAAACUCUGAUGCAGCGAUGCCGCGUGAGUGAAGAAGGCCCUUGGGUUGUAAAGCUCUUUCGUCGGGGAAGAAAAUGACUGUACCCGAAUAAGAAGGUCCGGCUAACUUCGUGCCAGCAGCCGCGGUAAUACGAAGGGACCUAGCGUAGUUCGGAAUUACUGGGCUUAAAGAGUUCGUAGGUGGUUGAAAAAGUUGGUGGUGAAAUCCCAGAGCUUAACUCUGGAACUGCCAUCAAAACUUUUCAGCUAGAGUAUGAUAGAGGAAAGCAGAAUUUCUAGUGUAGAGGUGAAAUUCGUAGAUAUUAGAAAGAAUACCAAUUGCGAAGGCAGCUUUCUGGAUCAUUACUGACACUGAGGAACGAAAGCAUGGGUAGCGAAGAGGAUUAGAUACCCUCGUAGUCCAUGCCGUAAACGAUGUGUGUUAGACGUUGGAAAUUUAUUUUCAGUGU